rnacentral:rRNA from 1 species
UACAGAGGGGGCAAGCGUUAUUCGGAAUUAUUGGGCGUAAAGGGCGCGUAGGCGGCCUGGCAAGUGGAAGGUGAAAUCCCUCGGCUUAACCGAGGAACCGCCUUCCAAACUGCUUGGCUUGAGUCCGGGAGAGGUGAGUGGAAUUCCCAGUGUAGCGGUGAAAUGCGUAGAUAUUGGGAGGAACACCAGUGGCGAAGGCGGCUCACUGGACCGGAACUGACGCUGAUGCGCGAAAGCGUGGGGAGCAAACGGG